rnacentral:rRNA from 1 species
UACGUAGGGGGCAAGCGUUGUCCGGAUUUAUUGGGCGUAAAGAGCGUGUAGGCGGCCCGAUAAGUCCGCCGUGAAAGCCCAGGGCUCAACCCUGGGAUGCCGGUGGAUACUGUCGGGCUAGAAUCCGGAAGAGGCGAGUGGAAUUCCUGGUGUAGCGGUGAAAUGCGCAGAUAUCAGGAGGAACACCGAUGGCGAAGGCAGCUCGCUGGGACGGUAUUGACGCUGAGACGCGAAAGCGUGGGGAGCAAACAGG